rnacentral:rRNA from 1 species
UACGUAGGUGGCGAGCGUUGUCCGGAUUUACUGGGCGUAAAGGGCGUGCAGGCGGUUUGUUAAGUGCAGGGUGAAAGCUCCCGGCUCAACUGGGAGAGGUCCUUGCAUACUGGCGAACUCGAGGGAGGCAGAGGAAAGUGGAAUUCCCGGUGUAGUGGUGAUAUGCGUAGAUAUCGGGAGGAACACCUGUGGCGAAGGCGGCUUUCUGGGCCUUACCUGACGCUGAGACGCAAAAGCGUGGGGAGCGAACCGG